rnacentral:tRNA from 1 species
GCGUGUGGCUCGAUGUUAGAGCACUUUCCUAGAACGUGUGAGGCCGGGGUUCGAUCCCCAGCAUGGCA